rnacentral:rRNA from 1 species
GACGAACGCUGGCGGCGUGCUUAACACAUGCAAGUCGAACGGAAAGGCCCUGCUUUUGUGGGGUGCUCGAGUGGCGAACGGGUGAGUAACACGUGAGUAACCUGCCCUUGACUUUGGGAUAACUUCAGGAAACUGGGGCUAAUACCGGAUAGGAGCUCCUGCUGCAUGGUGGGGGUUGGAAAGUUUCGGCGGUUGGGGAUGGACUCGCGGCUUAUCAGCUUGUUGGUGGGGUAGUGGCUUACCAAGGCUUUGACGGGUAGCCGGCCUGAGAGGGUGACCGGCCACAUUGGGACUGAGGUACGGUCCAGACUCCUACAGGAGGCAGCAGUGGGGAAUAUUGCACAAUGGGCGGAAGCCUGAUGCAGCAACGACGCGUGCGGGAUGACGGCCUUCGGGUUGUAAACCGCUUUCGCCUGUGACGAAGCGUGAGUGACGGUAAUGGGUAAAGAAGCACCGGCUAACUACGUG